CCUGGCGGCAGUAGCGCCGUGGUCCCACCUGACCCCAUGCCGAACUCAGAAGUGAAACGCCGUAGCGCCGAUGGUAGUGUGGGGUCUCCCCAUGCGAGAGUAGGGAACUGCCAGGC
rnacentral:rRNA from 1 species